rnacentral:rRNA from 1 species
CCUACGGGUGGCAGCAGUGGGGAAUAUUGCACAAUGGAGGAAACUCUGAUGCAGCAACGCCGCGUGAGUGAAGAAGGUUUUCGGAGUGGAAAGCUGUGUUAGUAGGGAAGUGAAAGGACGUUAGCUGCAGAGGAAGCCACGGCUAACUACGUGCCAGCAGCCGCGGUAAUACGGAGGUGGCAAGCGUUGUUCGGAAUAACUGGGCGUAAAGGAUGCGUAGGCGGUUAAACAAGUUAUAUGUUAAAGAUAUAGGCUUAACCUGUAGAAAGCAUAUAAAACUGUUGAACUAGAGUGCAGGAGCGGUAAGUGGAAUGCCUAGUGUAGCGGUGAAAUGCGUAGAGAUUAGGAAGAACACCAGUGGCGAAGGCGACUUACUGGACUGUAACUGACGCUGAGGCAUGAGAGCGUGGGGAGCAAACAGGAUUAGAUACCCCUGUAGUC